rnacentral:lncRNA from 1 species
AUGGCUGAAGGCUCUCGAACACACCGAUAACUUCACCGGUCUCCGGCUUGCUCUUUGUGACGCUCAAGGUGAUUUUCCCUGAUGAAGAUGCAGCACUCUUGUUGUUCUCCUUGGCUAGCUCUUCCUCAUCCCCUCUUCCUCCAGCAGGCAAGGCCACUGCAUUAUCGUAACCGGUUGAGCCACCCCUUCCCUUUGGGUCCAAGAAAGAUGAGCCACGGUAGGAUGGUACAAGGAAGUCUCCUCCAAAGCUAUCAGGUUUGCCUGAUGCAACCAAUUGCUUGAUGGUGAACAGGAAAGGCACACGCUCACCACCAGGAAGCUGAACUGUGACGGCAGCAUAAUCAAUCCCAUCUUUCUCCUCGAAUUUGACGGUGCCAUCGGUGGAUACCUCGAAAGGGCCCUCGAUUUCGUCAAGGGUGUAGGUUAAACGGGUCAUGAGCUUGGUGUUUUGGAACUCAGGAGGGGCAUUCUUGUUAACACCCUCAGCCUUGACAGUGAAGGAAGUGGGCUCCAAGCAGAACUUCUUGGCGUAGUAUUUGCCAGGCUUGAAGGCAAAAGAGUCGACACCACCAUCGAUAGUUGGGCACUGGUUAGCAGUUCCUGUUCCUUUGACUUCCAUGUAUGUCUUGCUUUGGAUUUCAUCGUAGGUUAGCCGCUUUGGAACUCCUUCAGCGCUUGCUCCCUUCAAAACAAACCAGUCAUUGUAACAUAUUUGUUCAGAUCACGGAUCAUAUAUGAUCCUUAUGUAUGCAAUCAACGAUACUUGGUUCAAAUGAAAAAUCCAAAUGAUAAAGUUACAACACCAUGCAAGCUCAUUAAGAAUCCUACCUAAGCUACAUAAAAAUAAAUACAGAAAUUUGAAGCAAGUGAGAGGCGAGAAGUAAAUACCGA